rnacentral:rRNA from 1 species
AAACGGGUGGCGUCAAGCUGCACACCUGGAGAAUUCAGUCGGCUAGGAUGUUGUGUAUGCGCUUGCGCAUCUAUCAGUCAGUGUAAGAUUGGACGGUCUACUGGAAGACAGUGGGCCCCGCCGCAAGGUGGGGAUGUGUGUACCGGGCGGAAGCCGGAGCACGCCGUUCGUCUGUUGGACUGUCUAGCCGGUGCACUUUCUCUGUGGUGGACACCACGACCAGUGGGACUGCCAGUCUGCUAUGGUCGAGUCGUAUUCGGUGCGUCCUUGUGGCAAACUGGGUGCGAUCACGGGCAAAUUCGGUGUACGGCGUGGGCUUGUCCUCGGAUGGGUUCACGUGUUAUCGGCCACCGGUUGUCUUAACGGGCCUGCCUAGCGAUUGUUAUAACCGUCGUUGGGUGGUCUGGUGGGCUAUAGCGGUAAGAAUAACUGUGCAGGGCACUGGAGUUUUCGGCCUCAAAUGCAGUCUACAUGCAUGUUAUAAGUGUGUGCGCGUGUGCGCGUGUCUGGGUGUCGUGUGUCAGCCUGCCUAUUGCCGGGUCUGACUGUCGUGUUGCCUGCGAAAAGUGGGUCCGACAGUGGCUUGGUGUAGGUUGGAGUUGGCCGCGGUGCCUGUUGUGUAGAUUGUGGUGGGCCAGAUAGUCAGUGGUGUAGUGGUAGACGAGCUACCCGACCCGUCUUGAAACACGGACCAAGGAGUUCAACAUGUAUGCAAGUCAAAGGGUCCUACGAAACCCCAAGGCGCAGUGAAAGUGAAGCUGCGGCGCCCUCGUGGUGUCCGUAGUGAGGUGAGAUUCUGUCGUUACUCGCAUCACCUGCCAGCAGCAGGCAUCAAGAGCGGCAGACGCAUCACCGGCCCGUCCCAUGGUGUGGUCAUUGGAUAAGGCUGCAGGUGGCCUCCGCCUGUCAGUACUGCCAGUGCGUCAUCGGGGCGGAGCAUGAGCAUACACGUUGAGACCCGAAAGAUGGUGAACUAU